GAACAGCCAGGCUGAAGAUAAAGGAACAGCCAGGCUGAAGAUAAAGGAACAGCCAGGCUGAAGAUAAAGGAACAGCCAGGCUGAAAAUAAAGGAACAGAUAAAGGUACAGCCAGGCUGAAGAUAAAGGAACAGCCAGGCUGAAGUUAAAGGAACAGCCAGGCUGAAGAUAAAGGAACAGAUAAAGGAACAGCCAGGCUGAAGAUAAAGGAACAGCCAGGCUGAAGAUAAAGGAACAGCCAGGCUGAAAAUAAAGGAACAGAUAAAGGUACAGCCAGGCUGAAGAUAAAGGAACAGCCAGGCUGAAGAUAAAGGAACAGCCAGGCUGAAGAUAAAGGAACAGAUAAAGGAACAGCCAGGCUGAAGAUAA